UAGCCAGUACGAAUGGACCUGACCCCUGCUAUUCUAUGAUGUAACUGGGCAUUUGUUCAGUAAAGCUUGGAUUGCCCAAG